AUGAGAAAUGAAUUGGAGGGAAAGCAGGAAAUUCAGCCUGGAUCAGGAGGAGAAGUGCAUGGGAUGAAGUUCCUAGAGGUUAAGAAGGUCCUGAGCAGAAGUAAUCUGGACUUGUGUUAUGGAGUCUGGAAAUGCAUCAUUGAAGGCUUUCUCUGAGAAGUGGAGAAGGCUAGUUAGCCUACGAAAUGCCAGGCUCUGGGGUCCCCCAGAGAAACACGUGGUGGUACACGUAUAAUAACACCAUUUCACAGAACAGAACAACUGAGCCUUUGAGGGUUUAAGUGACCUGCCAGCUAUGUACAGCUAGGACC